UACCGAGGUCUCAAGCGUUGUUCGGAUUCAUUGGGCGUAAAGGGUGCGUAGGUGGCGCCGUAAGUCGGGUGUGAAAUUUCGGAGCUUAACUCCGAAACUGCAUUCGAUACUGCGGUGCUUGAGGACUGGAGAGGAGACUGGAAUUCAUGGUGUAGCAGUGAAAUGCGUAGAGAUCAUGAGGAAGACCAGUGGCGAAGGCGGGUCUCUGGACAGUUCCUGACACUGAGGCACGAAGGCCAGGGGAGCAAACGGG
rnacentral:rRNA from 1 species